rnacentral:rRNA from 1 species
GACGAACCGAGCGAACGUUGUUCGGAAUCACUGGGCUUAAAGGGCGCGUAGGCGGGCGGCUAAGUCCGCGGUGAAAUCCUCCAGCUCAACUGGAGAACGGCCGCGGAUACUGGUCGUCUCGAGGAACGUAGGGGUAUGCGGAACUAUCGGUGGAGCGGUGAAAUGCGUUGAUAUAUGGAAGAACACCGAUAAAGGCGAAAGCAGUUAACUAUUCUACUACUGACAUUGAGGCAUGAAAGCGUGGGGAGCAAAUAGG